GUGCUCGCUUCGGCAGCACAUAUACUAAAAUUAGAAGAACGAUACAUACAGACUAGAUUAGCAUGGCCCCUGAGCAAGGAUGACAUGCAAAUUCGUAAGCGUUCCAUAUUUUU
ensembl:snRNA U6 U6 spliceosomal RNA